GGGGUUUUGUAAACUGAGGAAGUACCGAGCACUGACCUCAAACAGAGGCUGGGGAGAAAUGGGUAUGACUGAGCUGACAAGUCACAGGGCCGUGGCAAAUGGCUAGCUCUUUAACCCUUCCUCCUUCGCCGCAUCCAGAAACCCUCUCUGUACCCUUUAAUCCUGAGCAACUGUCACUCUCAACUGCCAAGAGUCAAGAAACCCAAGGGGAAUUGUGGGUAGGAGAGAUCUCAUAAGGCUGCAGGAAGCACUGACCAGUGGAGAGGUCGGGUGUCACCUCCCCGCCCCCAAAAUUAACUGUGAUGGCUCCGCCGGGGGGGGGGGGGGCUCACCUUCCCUUAAUAGCCUGGUGAAGGAGGGAGGUGGGGCUGUGUGUGUCAGACGGCUGCUCCCUCCUUCUAGCAGCGGCAGGUGUCCCCCUGACGGAGGGGACCUGCAGAGCCAGCAAGCAAAUGAAGCCCAAAGCCCAAAGCACGGAGGGUCACUGCCUGCUGGCUCUCUGAGCUGCCAGCCUCGCCCUAGCACUGCAGCCUGAGCCCAGGGUGAGCAGCCAGUAGGCCUCCGAGCAGCCACGGCAGGAGCAAGCACGUGCCUGGGAGGACCAGCAGGCAAGAACCGACCAGAACGGGUCCGGCACCUCCAGCUCGCCCCCUGGCAUGCGUGGACACCACCGUACAGUGCUCAUCCCCCAAAUCUCCUGCCUUCGAAGCCACUGGAAAUGCCGGGCUCUUCCUCAAACAGGGCGGAUCCUACGGAGCAGCCAGAGCUUUGGCAGCUUCCAGUCCCACUUCGUCCCUGAGAAUCUGCUCGUUGGGGUCUGGUCUCUAUCUCAAUCCCCAAUUACUGUUGCUAAUUCAGUAAACCUUUGUUGCGGGCCUACCUCUGGAGCCAGGGCUAGUUACAAAGUUCAGAAAGAUCUGGUUCCUGCUUUCCAGAAACAGAGGAGGGAACUGAGUGUUACAUUAGACUCACCGCAGUAUCUCUGCUCGCUUGGUAAGGGAGGCAGGAUACCAUAACAGACCUCUGGAGGCCGAGGGGCCUGGGGCGGGAGGCUUGCCUUUGCUCCUUACUAGUUCACUGAGCACAACCAAGAUUCCUUGACUUUGUUAGAUCCCCGUUUCCUCACUGGGGACAUGUGGACAGCAGCUGUCCCCACUUCACAAGAUCGGCGUGAAGACAAAAUGAAAAAUGCACACCAGGGUGGACCGCAGGGCCCGGCGCUCGGUAAGUCUGGACAAUGUUUCCUAUGAUCUUGCUUCUCUUUUGGAUAGGAACCUGCUUCCCAUCUCAAGGGGUCCUCUGAGCCCAGAAGAGCUAUCAUCUCUAAGAACUUGACCAAAAGCACCAGUGGAAUAAAGCUGGUAUUGCUCCUGGAACACAGAGAAGUCCGAUGUCCACCAUGGCUAGGCUGUCAGGCAAAAAGGACCCUCUUUCCUAACCUAAAACCGCUCUCGCCAAGAGAAGUGGGUGAAUGAGAAGGCAGCCACGCCUCUGGCCUCUAGGUAGCCCAGAGGAGGAGGAAGGUGUGCCUGCUUUUCCUUUCCUCACAGGCUCCUUAACUCCUUCCUCCCAGAAGAGGCCCAAGAAACAGCCGACAUACCAGUACCACAUGGUGCCAAGGGCUGGGGGAAGCUCACACUGCCAGCCUCGCGCUCCACUCGGCGCCGCCCGUACCAGUGGGUUACUGUAACCAUGGAGACCAACAAGUUCCUCCAUAUCACAGGAGAGCGUCCGCCUGCCAGCAGCCCAGGGCUCUGGGGGAGGCAGAAGGCAGCCUGCAGCAGAAAGCUUACAUUUUUAUUCAGCACUGUCUGGCUGUACAUGGUGGAGCAAAGGGCUGGAGUCCCAGGUCUGCAGUGGGACCCCAGCUCCGCCACUCUGGCUGCGGGGGAGGAAACGGCUCGGAAGUGUGGUACGAAGAGUCACACACACCCACACACACUGAAAGCAAGGCUCCCGCUCUCAUGUGACAUCUUCUUUUAAGGGAUCCAGGUCAGUAAACACGCUUAUCCCUAGUUUAUCCCAAAUCCUUUUGUUUGAGGAAUUAUCCAGACACCUUCCGAGCAGAGUGCGAUCGGUCUCUUCUCUGGCUCUCACGGCACCCCGUCUGUACCCGUUCAUCUCAUCGGACCCUGUGUCGCCACACCUUAGCCUCCUCGAGCUCUGAGAGGUAGUUGUUGGUUCCCCAUCCGGCCUUCCCACAACACAGAGCUUUCGGGAGGGACCCAGGUCGGAUUCACUGCCACACCAAGGCCUCUACUGCAGAGCAGGGGUCGGCGAUAGGUACUGAAUGCAUAAAUGGACACAGCCGAGUGGGCAGGAAGCCACAAGAUCCCCUCGCCCAAGCAGGGAGGGCAUCUAGAAAGCAUUAGUUCCACGAACUAACUUCCUCAGGUGGUGACAAGGCCCUUGGUGCUCUCUCCUGACACAAUGAUGUUGGCAAAUGUCAUCAAGAGGUGGACUGGAGACAGACUGAGAACACAGACACAGCCAGGGAUGGGGGGCCUACGCCCCACACUCCCGUCCCUGACCCCCCUCAAACAAGCCCAAGGCCUCUCCUUUCAUCAUGGCGGUGGGGGGCUCUGCUCUGAACUUCCUGAUGCCCAAAAACCACUGGGCGCAACUUAAGACCGCUCUCUGCCUCUCCAUAGCCAAUUUCACACCUGCUUUGCUAUCCAAAACCACUGUGUCUUGCUGGGACGGGCCAUUCUAAGAUUUGGGGAAGUGACAGUGACUUACUUGUAGGAGACAUUUAUUCUCUGGCACACUGAGAGCUCGGCUUUCGUAUUUCCUCCCUGAACCGAUGUAAUGACUGUAAGGCCCUGUCACCCCUGGAACGCCAAUAAAAUUCACCCAUACACACCUUCCUCCUGUCCUGCUGCAAAAAUUGGCAUUCCCACCCUGCCCCCAGCCCUCCCCAGGCUGCCUCCUGUUACAGAAAAGCAAAGGAACUAAAAACGGCAGCUGGGGAGCUCAGUUGACUCACCCAGCAUAAUCA